rnacentral:ribozyme from 14 species
GUUUUUUUUUUUUUUUUAAUUCUUACUUCGAAAUAUGGAAAGUCGCUGCUGUUCUGCUCAAAUAGAAAACAGAAAAUACCAUCAUCGGUUGUUUCUUUCGCAAUGACAAGAGGAUUGGAUACCCCGCGUCCGGUAUAUUCAGACACCCCGUAGAAAGUCUGGUCUGAGAAAAGGUGACGUGAAUGCUGGGUAUUAACUGUUUUUUAAAACUAUCG